rnacentral:rRNA from 1 species
GAUGAACGCUGGCGGCGUGCCUAAUACAUGCAAGUCGAGCGAACAGACGAGGAGCUUGCUCCUCUGACGUUAGCGGCGGACGGGUGAGUAACACGUGGAUAACCUACCUAUAAGACUGGGAUAACUUCGGGAAACCGGAGCUAAUACCGGAUAAUAUAUUGAACCGCAUGGUUCAAUAGUGAAAGACGGUUUUGCUGUCACUUAUAGAUGGAUCCGCGCCGCAUUAGCUAGUUGGUAAGGUAACGGCUUACCAAGGCAACGAUGCGUAGCCGACCUGAGAGGGUGAUCGGCCACACUGGAACUGAGACACGGUCCAGACUCCUACGGGAGGCAGCAGUAGGGAAUCUUCCGCAAUGGGCGAAAGCUUGACGGAGCAACGCCGCGUGAGUGAUGAAGGUCUUCGGAUCGUAAAACUCUGUGAUUAGGGAAGAACAAAUGUGUAAGUAACUAUGCACGUCUUGACGGUACCUAAGCAGAAAGCCACGGCUAACUACGUG